GGACAGGUGGCUGAGCUGGUCUAAGGCGCACGACUGGAACUCGUGUAAACGUUAAUAGCGUUUCGAGGGUUCGAAUCCCUCCCUGUCCGCCA
rnacentral:tRNA from 1 species